GGCUGGUCCAAUGGCAGUGGGUUAUCAGAACUUAUUAACAUUAGUGUCACUAAAGUUGGUAUACCACCCCCCCCACUGCUAAAUUUGACUGGCUUUAA
ensembl:misc_RNA Y_RNA Y RNA